rnacentral:ncRNA from 1 species
AAAAUAAAAAGCGCCAGAACUUUAAAAAUAAAAAGUUGACGAGGGACAGAGAAUAUCGAAAAUUCGGCGGAUACUCUGUAGGGACUGCACCCUAUAUAGACAGAACAAAAAAUUUUAGUGAUAGAAUUGACAAAUAUG